AUGGAGAUGCCGAGGGUCUCUGAGGAAACUGUGGCCGCCGUCGUGCCCAUCGCCGUGUACUGGGCCUACGCCAGCGUGCACACGGCGCUGGGGCAUUCGCGGCUCAUGGACAAGUACAGGCUCAACACCAAGGACGAGGAGGACCGCAAGAACAUGGUGUCCAAGCGCGCCGUCAUCCUCAACGUCCUCAUGCAGCACCUCAUGCAGCUCGCCGCCCUCGCCGUGCUCGCCAUGGUUACGGGAGGAAGAGGAGCGACGGCGUCGAAGGCCGCUGGCGGCUCACGGGCGGCGGAGUACCUGACGGCGGCGGCCCGGAUCGCGGUGGCCGUGCUGGUGUUCGACGCGUACCGGUACGCGUGGCACCGCCUGGCGCACAUCAACCGGUUCAUUUACCGGCACCUCCACUCGUGGCACCACCGCAUCGUGGUGCCCUACGCGUUCGGCGCCAUCUACGGCCACCCGAUCGAGGUCCUCAUCGCCGACACGGCCGGGGCCUCGCUCGCCGUCCUCGUUACCGGCCUGUCGCCAUCGUCGCCGCGCGCCACGGCCGUGUUCCUCACCCUCUGCACCGUGAAGGCCAUCGACAACCACUGUGGCGUGUGCCUGCUGCCGCGCCGCCUGCAGUCGGUCUGGAACGGCGCCGCGUACCACGGCGUGCACCACAUGCCGCGCGGCGUCCGGUACAACUUCUCCGACCUCUUCUUCGUGACAUGGGACCAUGUGUUCGGGACCCACAUGCCCUACGCCGUCGAGGAGAGGCCGGGCGGCGAUGGACUCAUGCUCAAGCCCCUGCCGCCUCCCAAGGCAACUAAUUAG
rnacentral:rRNA from 1 species